rnacentral:rRNA from 1 species
AAUAGAUACCCAGGUAGUCCACGCCGUAAACGAUGAGUGCUAAGUGUUAGGGGGUUUCCACCCCUUAGUGCUGCAGCUAACGCAUUAAGCACUCCGCCUGGGGAGUACGGUCGCAAGACUGAAACUCAAAGGAAUUGACGGGGGCCCGCACAAGCGGUGGAGCAUGUGGUUUAAUUCGAAGCAACGCGAAGAACCUUACCAGGUCUUGACAUCCCGCUGACCGCUAUGGAGACAUAGCCUUCCCUUCGGGGACAGCGGUGACAGGUGGUGCAUGGUUGUCGUCAGCUCGUGUCGUGAGAUGUUGGGUUAAGUCCCGCAACGAACGCAACCCUUGUCCUUAGUUGCCAUCAUUCAGUUGGGCACUCUAAGGAGACUGCCGUACAAAUACGGAGGAAGGUGGGGAUGACGUCAAAUCAUCAUGCCCCUUAUGACCUGGGCUACACACGUGCUACAAUGGACGGUACAAACGGUCGCGAAGUCGCGAGACGGAGCCAAUCCGAAAAAACCGUUCUCAGUUCGGAUUGCAGG